UUGCAGUAACACAUAUUUUGCUAUGCACAUGUUUAUUCCCUUUGUGUGUAUUGGAACUAAACCAAAAAAGGGAGAAAAAAAAGCAAAUUGGACAUAAUGUCACACCAAACUCAAAAAAUUGGCACCCUUAACUUAAUAUUUGGUUGCACGCCCUUUGGAAAAAAUAACUGAAAUCAUUUGCUUCCUAUAACCAUCAAUAAGCUUCUUACACCUCUCAGCAGGAAUGUUGGUCCACUCUUCCUUUGCAAACUGCUCCAGGUCUCUCUUAUUGGAAGGGCGCCUUUUCGCAACAGCAAUUUUAAGAUCUCUCCACAGGUGUUUAAUGGGAUUUAGAUCUGGACUCAUUGCUGGCCACUUCAGAACUCAACAGUGCUUUGUUGCCAACCAGUUUUGGGUGCUUUUUGACAUAUGUUUGGGAAGGAAGACCCAAGAUCUCGGACGCAAACCCAACUGUCUGACACUGGGCUGUACAGUGCGACCCAAAGACUGGGAAGAGGCGUUCCCCAGCAGACAUGACAUCUUCUGAAGCCCUGCUGGGGAUAACAUCCUCCGUCACUCUGCUAUACACAACCAAGAGCAGUUCAGUGAGAGAUGGGCUGUGUUUUUCGGAGACUGCACCCUCCCCCAUCUCAGCUCUCUAAACUGAGGAUCAGGACUGCAGGAUGUGAAUGGCCGAGUGCAUGUGUGUCGCUUACCUAAAAAGAGAAGGCACAAGAGUCCAUGUGAAAAGGAUGCAAAGUUCCAGAUGCAGUGUGAUAUCAAUGGGCACUGUUCUACUGGGAAACCACGGGUCCUGGAACUUAUGUGGAUAUUAGGCUUAGUUUGCACUUUUUGCACUAUUUUUUAAUCACAUAUAUACUUUGGAAGUAUUUAUCAACACAUAAAAAAAUUUUUUUGCUCUGGGAGCCAUAGACUCUAGUUACAUCAUGCAAACAUGGGGAACAAUUAAAACUCCAUGAAGUUGUUGUCCUUGGUUGAUUUUGAGCUCAGGACUCUUUCUGCAAGGGAACAAUGUUAAGCCUUAAACCACUGUGCCACCUAUGAAGAAGGUAAGUAGAAGCCAGGUGCUGCUAAUCAAACAUCCUUUUCUAAAGCAGAAAUGUUGGUGGUUUUUAGACUCCCACCAAUCACUAGAUAGAUUCCACGUGAGUGCUUGUUUGUCAAUCAUGCCCGACCCAUUUUCAUUUGUGCUCAAGAAUCUCGAAUUCAAUUGGUCUCUGUCUAUACUGAUGCAGCUCAUCAUUUAGAACUAGUUGACAGACUUGCAGCUUUUGUGUGCUUUCAGCUUUUACGUACCAUGUCUCACUCAUGUAGAGCAAGACCGAUUUUAUGUUCAAGGAUUUAUAUUUUGGUAUGUUUGCGGAGCUAGUUUAAGUCCAAAACAUGCCAGUGACUUACAAAAGUACUCUUUACAUUUCUGAUUCUGGUAGGUACAUCUAUCAAUCUUGGUAUCGCAGUCUGGUGCAGUUUGGCUUCCAAAAUGCUGGAAAGUUUUGAUAUUCUCAACUGGUUGGUCAGCUACAAUAAAGCUAGAGAGGUUUUCCAUGUUGAUUUUCAUCAAUUAUGUUUUGAUGACAUUGAUGAUCAAACUUGCUUCUGUGGAGUGGCUGGCUACUAGUCAUCAAGUUUAUUCUGCAUGUCAGCAAAGCAUUGUGCAUAUAAAGUUGUCAGCUAGCUCAAGGAUGUUGAGAUGCUAAAUACUGAUAGGAUGCCAAAGUAGUCACUUGCUGGUUCGCUAUCAAUUGCUCCAGCUAAAACAUCAUUAUUCAUGAAUAAGAAAGGAUUGUC